GUACUCUCACACUUCCGAUCUUUGUAUUGGGAGCGGUGGACUUGGGUUUGCUGCUUCACCGCGGCUUACCUCAAAUAGGUUAGUGCAACACUUGGUUGGACAUAAUACGGCGUGAUAAGUGUUCUUUUCGCCGGUGCCUCGCAAAGAGGGUGGCCGAUCGGGGGGUUGUGCUCCAAACCGUCCGUCUUUGGACAAUGUCUGACA
rnacentral:misc_RNA from 1 species